rnacentral:misc_RNA from 1 species
GAUGAAGACGUAGCGAAAUGCGAUAAGUAAUGUGAAUUGCAGAAUUCAGUGAAUCAUCGAAUCUUUGAACGCACAUUGCGCCCGCGAGUAUUCUCGCGGGCAUGCCUGUCCGAGCGUCAUUUCAACCCUCAGGGCCCGCCUGCUUGCAGGCGCGGCGCUGGUGUUGGGGAUCGGCUACCCUGCCGUCCCCCAAAUACAGUGGCGGUCUCGCUGCAGCCUCCCCUGCGUAGUAGCAACACUCGCAUGCGGAGCGCGGCGCGGCCACGCCGUAAAACCCCCGACUUUCUGAACGUUGACCUCGGAUCAGGUAGGAAUACCCGCUGAACUUAAGCAUAUCAAUAAGCGGAGGA